rnacentral:rRNA from 1 species
AAGGAAUAUUGGACAAUGGAGGCAACUCUGAUCCAGCCAUGCCGCGUGAAGGAAUAAGGCCCUAUGGGUUGUAAACUUCUUUUAGACGGGACAAAACCCCUUUACGUGUAAAGGGUUGAUGGUACCGUCAGAAUAAGCAUCGGCUAACUUCGUGCCAGCAGCCGCGGUAAUACGAAGGAUGCAAGCGUUAUCCGGAAUUAUUGGGCUUAAAGGGUGCGUAGGCGGACUAAUAAGUCAGUGGUGAAAGCCUGCAGCUUAACUGCAGAAUUGCCAUUGAUACUGUUAGUCUUGAGUACAGUUGAGGUAGGCGGAAUGGGUCAUGUAGCGGUGAAAUGCUUAGAUAUGACACAGAACACCGAUUGCGAAGGCAGCUUGCUAAGCUGUAACUGACGCUGAGGCACGAAAGCGUGGGGAGCAAAC